rnacentral:tRNA from 1 species
UGAGGUGUCGCCAAGUGGUAAGGCAUCGGACUUUGAAUCCGACACGCCCAGGUUCGAAUCCUGGCACCUCAA